rnacentral:rRNA from 1 species
AGUGAACGCUGGCGGUAGGCCUAACACAUGCAAGUCGAACGGCAGCACAGUAAGAGCUUGCUCUUACGGGUGGCGAGUGGCGUACGGGUGAGGAAUACAUCGGAAUCUACUUUUUCGUGGGGGAUAACGUAGGUAAACUUACGCUAAUACCGCAUACGCCCUACGGUUGAAAGCAGGGGAUCUUCUGACCUUGCGCGAUUGAAUGAGCCGAUGUCGGAUUAGCUAGUUGGCGGGGUAAAGGCCCACCAAGUCGACGAUCCGUAGCUGGUCUGAGAGAAUGAUCAGCCACACUGGAACUGGGACACGGACCAGACUCCUACGAGAGGCAGCAGUGGGGAAUAGUGGACAAUGGGCGCGAGCCUGAUCCAGCGGGACCGCGUGGGAGAAGAAGGCCUUCGGGUUGUAAAGACCUUUUGUUGGGAAAGAAAAGCAGCAGGUUAAUACGCCGCUGUUCUGACGGUACCCAAAGAAUAAGCACCGGCUAACUUCGUG